CGGAACCGUGGCAGCUUGUCGCAACGUGCAAGCCUCAUCUCCUGCUAUCCCGGCCACAGUGAUGGAACAAAUGCCUGGGAAUGAAGAAGAAUCCAGAAUUCCAUCGGAUCCCACAAUGCCUAAUUGAAACAUUGGUCAGAGAAGACUGAAACAUUGGCAGUGGACUUUGAAACGUUAGAUAAAGAAGCCUGCCCUACAAUUACAAGGAAUGCCGAGUAUGGACAGAAGUAGAAAAUCUGUAACAAAUCACACAUAAAUGUAAAUGAGGCUCCCCGAUUAAUAUGUAUGAGGAUGUGAAUGUGUGUGGAGGCUGUCUUGGGUAGAUGUCUUUGCAUAACCAUUUACAAGCCAGAAACUUAUUUCAUGCAUUCCUUCACAUGCAGUUCAUGACAGUUGCAUCCAAAAUGCAUCCACUGUAAACUGAAUGGAGCUCUUGCAUUGAUGCCAGUGGAAGACAGAAGAGGUUAAUGGGGAAAAAAGAAGAGUUUCCAAGAAUAGCACCUGGCUGCCAAAAAAAUAACCUACAUAGAUGUGCGCAUGAGCUCAUGAUGUGGGUUGACUUAUCUGCCUUUUCAUCUGAAUACAGUUCAACACAUCGGCUGUCCCAGCUAGCUAGAGUUAUGCUGGCAUAAUAUUGGAUUUCUGGGUGGAUCCUGGGAAUUAAGGAAGUAUCUGAGGCCAUGCUGUGCAGUCAAAGAAAUCUAACCAAAGACUACCAGUCAGAGCCAUGGAGAGAAUAAGGCUCUUAACUGAGAGGCCAGGCCAGCAUAACUUUUCUUUCCCAAAGUAAUUAUCUGGUUUGGCUUUCACACAACUAUUUUUAUUGCUGUUUCUUGGUAAGAGCACAUCUUAUGUGCUCAGGUCAAAAAAAAAAUGUUUUCUAUACUGAGAAUUUCAACCAAAAAUAUCUGUAUGGGGUUGGGGAUAGGACAAGGUCAAUGUAAAUAUGUUAGUAUAUGAAUAAAAUAUUGUUAUAUUGA